AAUAGAUACCCAGGUAGUCCACGCCGUAAACGAUGAGUGCUAAGUGUUAGGGGGUUUCCACCCCUUAGUGCUGCAGCUAACGCAUUAAGCACUCCGCCUGGGGAGUACGGUCGCAAGACUGAAACUCAAAGGAAUUGACGGGGGCCCGCACAAGCGGUGGAGCAUGUGGUUUAAUUCGAAGCAACGCGAAGAACCUUACCAGGUCUUGACAUCCCGCUGACCGCUGUGGAGACAUAGCCUUCCCUUCGGGGACAGCGGUGACAGGUGGUGCAUGGUUGUCGUCAGCUCGUGUCGUGAGAUGUUGGGUUAAGUCCCGCAACGAGCGUAACCCUUGUCCUUAGUUGCCAUCAUUCAGUUGGGCACUCUAAGGAGACUGCCGUACAAAUACGGAGGAAGGUGGGGAUGACGUCAAAUCAUCAUGCCCCUUAUGACCUGGGCUACACACGUGCUACAAUGGACGGUACAAACGGUCGCGAAGUCGCGAGACGGAGCCAAUCCGAAAAAACCGUUCUCAGUUCGGAUUGCAGGCUGC
rnacentral:rRNA from 1 species